ensembl:lncRNA
AUGUUUUCCUCAUCAGAAUGGCAUCCUCUCCGUAUAGCUGCCCCAGUCCCAUCAGGGUCAAGUGUGUGCUUAACCACAAAAACCCUCAAUUUUAUGCUUGUAGAUGGGGAAAUUAGGCCGGGCACUCAAGUGAUCACUUACCUUAGUACACUGUCCACAGGUGGUCAGGUGUAUGUCACGCAGUCCUCUUCAGACAGGGCUGCCUUUGAAGAGGGCGUGACAUACUAUAUAAAAAACUACACCGUGUCCUCAAGAUAUGGGCAGGAACGUCUGUUCAUGGGUCCGAACACAACGACCUACAAAAGCGCUCCCCUCACACUGAGCUUUGAUGCAGAGAAGAUGGCCAAAGACGCCCUGGUUCCACCAUCUGUCUCAGUGACUGGGGAUGAGCAGGACCUCUUCUCAAGAGGGGGCCACUUAACUCAGGAAGGAACUGUGGAACAUAUGCAGGUUCCAAGGAUGACGACUGUGAGGGACACAGAAGUCCCCAUCUUGGACGUGGGGAUCAAAAGCGGCUCCAGGAUCCUUGAGGUGUCCUUAUGGCGGGACCAGGCCUUGUCCAAGCUCAGAAUUAAUGAUAAGGUGAACAUAUGUCACCUUCGAGCAAGCGCCAAGGCCACCAAGUUAAAUUCACAACUUUUUUGCAAUUUGCAAGGUUUUGGAGCAGGCACCAGUGGUGGAGGACAUCGUGGUGAUUGGCUUGUCCGAAGCCAAUGGUGAGGUCUCCUUACUCGCUGAGGACUUCAGUGAAUACACGGCACCUCCUGAGCUGCUUGAAGGGAGUGUAGAAGAGCUCCUGUGCCAGCUUCCACUUCAUUUAGAAGUAAUGCAUGAGCACAGAAAAAUUUAAAAAAUUAAUUAUGUUGAUUAAAUGUAAGUUUUUAGUUGUGUGAAAUAGUUCUUUUCCCUGUAAUUGUUUGUUGUUCCAUUUUAUUAUAUAGAUUUGUUAUUUAAUUGUUUUGCAUAUAUAUAUAUAUAUAUAUAUAUAUAUAUAUAUAUAAUUUAAAAUUGUUCUUUAUAGAUUGUUUAUUUAUUGAUAUCGAUAAUAUUGAUUUUUUUUUAAUCUAACAUUAUCUAAAAUUUCUCCUAUUGUUAUUCAAUUUGAAGUGAUAUAUUCAGUUACAUAAAGUGAAUUUCAGUACAUUGAGACAUUUCCUCUGUUCCUCAUGAUUUUCUAUUGUAAUUUGAUCAUUUGUUAUUUUGUUGCUGAUUAUUUAGUAGUAAUAAAGUAUACAUAUAUUGUUAUAAAUCUGUUGAAAGUGUGAUUGUGUGCAGUGGGCUAGUUGGCAGAUUGAAGUCUAUGAACACCAUCUGCGUUCUGUUUGUGAUUUACAGGAGCCACAGAAAACAACCAAAGUCUGAUGUGUUUAUCACCUCCCUACUAUAAACACAAAUGUUUAGUGCUGCUCUGAUCUCAAUGCUAACAAGUAUGUUAAACAUAAAUAAGAUCAUUAAUCAAUUUCAAUUUAAACAUUGAAUUACUAGUCGUUAACUAAAAGUAACAUUUCCUCUCUUUCCUCCCACUUGCCAUCUUUUUUUAUUUUAUAAACAAAUAUUUACUGGUAAUAUCUUAUUUCAACAAAUACACUAUAAUUGUAAGUGUCUUAAUACAGUAAUUUAUUGCAUAACAUUAACUAAUGUAGAAUACAUAAUAACAGCUAGGGGUGGGUGGAAUGACCAAAAAUUUAUUUCACGGAAUAAGUUAUUUUAUUUCAUGGUAGCGGUAUAUAUCAUGGAAUAAUAAUUUUUCAGGUAAAUCAACAAAAGGGACUUGCUUAAUAUAUUAAAUGCCACUUUAAAAAUAAAGAAUAGGCUCUCAUCUUAUUUUAUUAAUUUUUCUUUUAUUUAGAGCAUUAGUAGUGAAUGAGUGAACUUUUAGAUCAACCUCACCAUAACAAUAAAUAGGCCACAUGUGUGUAGUUUAAAGAGAACAGACUUUUUAUUAAUAUCAGAACAGAUUAUUAAUACUUUCUCAGAGCAUUGAAAUAAAUAAAACUUCAGUAACAUAAAUUUUGCAGAAAGUAUAAAAAUGUAAACAUUUGGGGAAAAUGUCAGAAUCUAAACGCUUGUUCUAAAAAAAAACUGUAAACACUUCCUGAGCAAAAGAAAUUUAAACUCUUUUUGAAACAUUUAAAAAAAAAAAAUCAAAUAAAUAUAAACACUUCAAUAAAUGAAAUAAUAAAUAAAAAAUUCUGUCAAACAAAACAAUUACAAAUUGUGUGCAAGAAAAACAAGCUGGUCAACUCUCUCAUGUUUAAGUGCUGAUCUGCGGCAUGUGACAAUAUUCCCACUUGUGCUGAAUAACCCGUUCAGAUGGAGCACUUGUUGUCCAGUCUUUGAUGAAGUGGAUUGUUAAGCUCAUAUAUGGCUGUGUAGUUCGGCUUGUCCACAAAUCAGUUG